rnacentral:rRNA from 1 species
CGGCCGCGUCGACGGCGGCGUGCCUAAUACAUGCAAGUCGAGCGGACCUUUUAAAAGCUUGCUUUUGAAAGGUCAGCGGCGGACGGGUGAGUAACACGUGGGCAACCUGCCUGUAAGACUGGGAUAACUUCGGGAAACCGGAGCUAAUACCGGAUAAUAUAAGGAACCUCCUGGUUCUUUAUUGAAAGAUGGUUUCGGCUAUCACUUACAGAUGGGCCCGCGGCGCAUUAGCUAGUUGGUGAGGUAACGGCUCACCAAGGCAACGAUGCGUAGCCGACCUGAGAGGGUGAUCGGCCACACUGGGACUGACGACACGGCCAGACUCCUACGGUCGACGCGGCCG